rnacentral:rRNA from 1 species
CCAAACUGUUGCCUCGGCGGGAUCUCUGCCCCGGGUGCGUCGCAGCCCCGGACCAAGGCGCCCGCCGGAGGACCAACCAAAACUCUUUUUGUAUACCCCCUCGCGGGUUUUUUAUAAUCUGAGCCUUCUCGGCGCCUCUCGUAGGCGUUUCGAAAAUGAAUCAAAACUUUCAACAACGGAUCUCUUGGUUCUGGCAUCGAUGAAGAACGCAGCGAAAUGCGAUAAGUAAUGUGAAUUGCAGAAUUCAGUGAAUCAUCGAAUCUUUGAACGCACAUUGCGCCCGCCAGUAUUCUGGCGGGCAUGCCUGUCCGAGCGUCAUUUCAACCCUCGAACCCCUCCGGGGGGUCGGCGUUGGGGAUCGGCCCUCCCUUAGCGGGUGGCCGUCUCCGAAAUACAGUGGCGGUCUCGCCGCAGCCUCUCCUGCGCAGUAGUUUGCACACUCGCAUCGGGAGCGCGGCGCGUCCACAGCCGUUAAACACCCAACUUCUGAAAUGUUGACCUCGGAU